rnacentral:rRNA from 1 species
GAUGAACGCUGGCGGCGUGCCUAAUACAUGCAAGUCGAGCGAACGGACGAGGAGCUUGCUGCUCUGAUGUUAGCGGCGGACGGGUGAGUAACACGUGGAUAACCUACCUAUAAGACUGGGAUAACUUCGGGAAACCGGAGCUAAUCCCGGAUAAUAUUUUGAACCGCAUGGUUCAAAAGUGAAAGACGGUCUUGCUGUCACUUCUAGAUGGAUCCGCGCUGCAUUAGCUAGUUGGUAAGGUAACGGCUUACCAAGGCUACGAUGCAUAGCCGACCUGAGAGGGUGAUCGGCCACCUUGGAACUGAGACACGGUCCAGACUCCUACGGGAGGCAGCAGUAGGGAAUCGUCCGCAAUGGGCGGAAGCCUGACGGAGCAACGCCGCGUGAGUGAUGAAGGUCUUCGGAUCGUAAAACUCUGUUAUUAGGGAAGAACAUAUGUGUAAGGAACUGUGCACAGCUUGACGGUACCUAAUCAGAAAGCAACGGCUAACUACGUG